rnacentral:rRNA from 1 species
UACGUAGGGUGCGAGCGUUAAUCGGAAUUACUGGGCGUAAAGCGUGCGCAGGCGGUUCGCUGUGUCCUGUGUGAAAGCCCCGGGCUUAACCUGGGAAUGGCAUGGGAAACUGGCGAGCUUGAGUGCGGCAGAGGGGGGUGGAAUUCCGCGUGUAGCAGUGAAAUGCGUAGAGAUGCGGAGGAACACCGAUGGCGAAGGCAGCCCCCUGGGUCGACACUGACGCUCAGGCACGAAAGCGUGGGGAGCAAACGGG